rnacentral:rRNA from 1 species
UACGUAGGGUGCGAGCGUUGUCCGGAAUUAUUGGGCGUAAAGAGCUCGUAGGCGGUGUGUCGCGUCGUCCGUGAAAACUUGGGGCUCAACCCCAAGCUUGCGGGCGAUACGGGCAGACUUGAGUACUGCAGGGGAGACUGGAAUUCCUGGUGUAGCGGUGAAAUGCGCAGAUAUCAGGAGGAACACCGGUGGCGAAGGCGGGUCUCUGGGCAGUAACUGACGCUGAGGAGCGAAAGCGUGGGUAGCAAACAGG